rnacentral:lncRNA from 1 species
ACAAUUGUUGACUAUUGGAGGAUUCACCUCCAUCCUUAACUGAUGAGGAGGUGGAGACAUAAUGUAAUUAUCUUGUAAAUAUAACUAUCCAGCCUAUUUCAGAUGGUAUUGGUAGGUUUUUAUUAGUUUAUGAUUAAUUAUAAGUUCAUUGUUUCAUAAAUUAUAUCUAUAAUAACGUUGUCACUGAUCAAUUAAAUUUGGAUGAUGAAGAUGGACUAGAGAAUACUGUGGAUCCGGAAGUCAUUUUGUAAUGUGAACCAAAAUGAAAGUAAUUAAUGCUGGUGAAGCUUCUAAUUUCUUGGAUGAAGAAUAAGGGCCCCAAUUCG